AGUGAACGCUGGCGGUAGGCCUAACACAUGCAAGUCGAACGGCAGCACAGUAAGAGCUUGCUCUUACGGGUGGCGAGUGGCGGGCGGGUGAGGAAUACAUCGGAAUCUACUUUUUCGGGGGGGAUAACGUAGGGAAACUUACGCUAAUACCGCAUACGACCUACGGGUGAAAGCAGGGGAUCUUCGGACCUUGCGCGAUUGAAUGAGCCGAUGUCGUAUUAGCUAGUUGGCGGGGUAAAGGCCCACCAAGGCGCCGAUCCGUAGCUGGGCUGUGAGGAUGAUCGGCCACACUGGAGCUGAGACACCGUCCAGGCUCCUACGGGAGGCAGCAGUGGGGAAUAUUGGACAAUGGGCGCAAGCCUGAUCCAGCCAUACCGCGUGGGUGAAGAAGGCCUUCGGGUUGUAAAGCCCUUUUGUUGGGAAAGAAAAGCAGCAGGUUAAUACCCCGCUGUUCUGACGGUACCCAAUGAAUAAGCACCGGCUAACUUCGUG
rnacentral:rRNA from 1 species